CAGGAUGAGAUCCAUGGGUAAAUCGAGGCGGAGGUUCCCCCGGAGUACCGAACUGGCCAUAGUACUACGGCUUCGUUCCCCCACGAGCCACGAGUAGCGCAAUCUUCGUGGUCUGGUCUUCCAAGUCAAGUUCACCACCCUUUCCACCACCGUCUUCCUCCCCACGCUGAAUAUAAAUACCUCCGCCUCCUCCGGUCCUCCCCUCUACGCCUCACCAAACCCAAAACCACCGCCUCGUCGAUCCCACAUUCCACCUUCCCUCCCGUUUCCGCCCGCAAAUUGCCUCCUCCACCCAAACCCUAGGCCUCAAGCCCACCGCCACGCCCCCCCUCCCGCUCCCGCUCUGCGGCAAUCCCGCGAACACCUCGCGCGCAUCUCCCCGCGUUUCCACGGCCAGCCGGGCAACUUCUCCGAGCGCCCUGGCGAUGGCGAACCACGGGGCCGCGGAGGCCGCCUCCAUUCGCAACGAGGCCCGGGAGGUUCUAAGCCUCUACUCCGACGGCGAGCACGAGGCUGCGCUGGCCCGCGCCGUAGUGCUCGCCGCCGUGCACCCGGGCUCCGCGGUCGCUCUCAACCUCGCCGGAUUGAUCCACCGCCACGCCGCCCUCGUGGCGCGGAACGACAGGGGCGCCCACGGCGACGACGAAGACGGCGACGAGAACGCGUCCGCGCUGGAGAAGUACCACCGCCACGCCGCCCUCGACGCCUUCUCCGCCGCUGCGCGUCUCGCCCCCAACUGCGUCGUCACCAACGCCGACCACGCCGUGGCGCUCGUCCACUGCCGUCGCUUCGAGGACGCGCAGAAGGAGUUUCUCCGCAUGCUCGACACGGUCGCGAACAACGACCAAGCCGACCCGGCGCUGUACAGCGUGGUGUACGACAUGAGCGGGGACUCGAGCAUGAAGGGGAGAAAGCGCGACGCCGUGAAGAGCGCCAGCAUCGCCAUGGAGCGCUUCGCGGAAAAAAUCAACCACAGGAUUCUGCCAUUGGAGGCCGCCAAGUUGCUGGACGCCAGCAAUCUCGGCGGGCCUGCCGCCGAUGAAGCGCGAGAGCGUGCAAAGCUUCUCGCCGAGACCUACCCCUACUCGCCGCGCGCCCAGCUACUCCGCGCGUACAUCGACUUGGCACCAGUCCGUGCCCUCGAUCCGGCAAUGGACAAGAAGCAGCUUCUGCGCCGCGCGCUCACCACCGUGUCUCAAGCGGCAGUAAACUUCGACCUCUCGCUCAUGGUUGCCUUGUUCCACGCCAAGCUCUUGUUCGUCCUGGAUAACUUUGAUGCUGCGGAGCGAGAGUGCCGCCGGGCACUUCGCAUGGAGACGCCGAAUGACCCCAAUUGGGAUGACAUACCUCCCAUGGCUGCUCUUGGGGCAGAUUCUGAUGCCAGAGUAUCUUAUGUCAAGAAGCAGCUCCGUGUCUUGCUCAAGCAGAUCAUAGUUGUGGCUGCACUAUACUGGUCCUCUAUGAAGAAUGCACUGCAGGGCCAACGCGUCGUAUCAGUGACGGUUGACACGCUGCAUGCGCACUAUGAUGGAAUCGACAAGUCGGCAGCAAAGACCAUAUCUGAUGCAACGCGCUUUCUCAAGAAUCAGGAGUCAUGGAGUUUCUGGAUUUGCCUCAAUUCCCGUUGUGAUGGCAAGAAGUUUUCGGACACUAGUUCGCUCUGGCAACACACGUGCAGCAAGCACCGAGAUGAGCUCUGGGGGAAGCUGCAGUCACUUAUAGAUCCAGAGUAUUGGGAAAAUACAUCACAGGAUGAUCACUCGUUGGUUGGGAUAACUCUCAGCCGCCAGUCUGACACCUUUCUUUUACCAAGGGUGCAGGAUAUGUUUGAAUCCUUGCUGCUUUCACCAUCUGUUGGAAUACAGGCAGAGCCCUUCGCUGAAAUGCGACAAAGGAAAUGCAGAGAAGGAUCUGAGAUCCUUGGGAGCAUCAGGGAGAAGCUGAGGUUGUUGCCUAAAGAUACACUUAGCACUGAGUUUCAGGAGUGCUGUUCUGGAAUAGAGAAAUUGUGGCUAAAGUUUCUUGAAGUUACUGUUGUGGACUAUCGUGAAAUCAUUCUUCCCCUUGCGAGAUCAUACCAAUGGAUAGAAUUGAAGAAACGGAUUCCUUUUUAUCUAAAUCAUCCUGGUACCAGGCGUAUUGAAUUUGCUGAUGCCAAUAUUGAUAUUAUAUGCGGAACUUCUGGCCAAUCUGUCAAGGAAAUGGCAAGCACCUCCAGUUCUCAACAAAGCCUUACUGUUUCCAACAAGAACAAUGCUGAUAAAGAAUUGUCUAUCUUGAGUGUAAUCAUACAGUCAUUGUGCAAUCUGAGGCAUUUCAGAGAUAAACUUCUGAUGGGGCCACUUGUAUGGAUCCCGUCAGUUGAAAAUCCCUGCAUUGCACAGCAAUUUUAUGAAAUCUUCUCUUCUUGGGAGAAAAACGACCACCACUUAACCGAUGUUGUACUGACUUGCAUGAAGACUCUUCUCUGCAGAGUUGUUGAUUACAGCACUUUUUAUGAAAAGGUUGGGAAAACUUUUGCUUCUGAGAUUGUGUCCACAAUUCUCAUUGAAUUGCAUAUGUCAGAAACUUGUUCGCGUUUUAGAGAAAACAAGGAGACCAAGAGACAUGUAGUGAACUCAGUCACGUGCGGAGAUUGCAUAUGCCCAACACAUUAUCUUUUUGGGAUCAAAUUCGAUGCUCAAAUCAGCUGUAGGUGUGGGAAGUCUUCCGGUGAAUACCUGUAUACCACACUUUUCCAUAAACUUGAUGUCGGUUCACCUCAAACAGCAAAGAUCAAGUCCUUUGCAGAGCUUCUGGUUCUAUUGGAUGAACAGUUUCGCGAGGACAACAAAUGUGACCAUUGUGGAAGUCUGCAGAAUAUUGAUCUCUUUCUUUCAAACACACCACACUUCUUUACAAUAGUUUUGAACUGGCUGGGUGGCAGUGAAAGCCAGGACGCACUAUCUGAAGUUCUGGCUGGCAUCACGUCUCCCCUUGACACUGAGUUCUUCUGCAGAAGUGCUCAUUCUGCAGCUAUGUAUGCUGUCACCUCCAUGGCCAAGUUGGUAUUGUUCUAAGACUGAAGCAAGGUUCUUAGUUUUGUGGAACAAAACGGAUCAUGGUUAAAUGGCGUUGUCACCUGGUUCAAAUUGCCUAGGUUAUCUUGACAAGGCAUUUUGCUUCUAUUUCUAAAGAAGUGGAUAGAAGGUUUAAACUAUGAUACAUCAUAUCUGAGUUGGUUCGUACUUGGAGUUGGAGAGAUAUUUGCAAGUUUUUGAAUGGUCCUAUCUGUGGCAUAUUUUUUCCUGCCUACUUCACUUAUAUCAAGAUAUUUAGAAGACUCGACAGAAGAAUUUCAGCAAGAAUCAAUAGCUUGUGUGAUCCUUAUGUCGCUGAGUUCUUUUUAUAAACGGUCCAUUGAUUGAACGGUUGAAGAAGUAUCAUAUGUAGGUAAACUGGUUAGACCUUUUAAAGUCUGCUGCUCUCACAAGUAUAUUUUGCAUUAUUUUCCUUCCUUUUAUAGCGAAUAGGAAAUGGCCUCAUCAAAUCACAUGGAGUGGUUGCAGAACAUCUGCUGGAGUAACCUUUUAUCUGCACACUUCUCUCUCUCUCUCUCUCUCUCUCUCUCUCUGUGUGUGUGUGUGUGUGUGUGUGUGUGUGUUUACUCUUCUGUUGCUUUGAGUAUUAGUACAGGCCUAUUGCAAGGUUGGUUUAAUGCUCUGGUUACUUAAUUUGCCUGCUUUUACAUAUGCAAGCAAGUCACUCCUUGCAAAUGCAGUGCAAUUUAGCAUCCAUCUUAUGCUAGCUUGCAAUCCAAACUCCUCUUGCAGAUCUGCUAUGCUGAUGACCGCUACGUCUGCUUUGCUCGCGACGAGGACAAGUGGGUCAUAUAUGGCUUCGAGACUGUCGAGAGAGAAGAUAGUUGGGAGCAUUUGCUAGAACGUUUCAAGGACUGCAAGCUCCAGCCUGAAGUUCU